rnacentral:rRNA from 1 species
GCUGGCGGCGUGCUUAACACAUGCAAGUCGAACGGAAAGGCCCUGCUUUUGUGGGGUGCUCGAGUGGCGAACGGGUGAGUAACACGUGAGUAACCUGCCCUUGACUUUGGGAUAACUUCAGGAAACUGGGGCUAAUACCGGAUAGGAGCUCCUGCUGCAUGGUGGGGGUUGGAAAGUUUCGGCGGUUGGGGAUGGACUCGCGGCUUAUCAGCUUGUUGGUGGGGUAGUGGCUUACCAAGGCUUUGACGGGUAGCCGGCCUGAGAGGGUGACCGGCCACAUUGGGACUGAGAUACGGCCCAGACUCCUACGGGAGGCAGCAGUGGGGAAUAUUGCACAAUGGGCGGAAGCCUGAUGCAGCAACGCCGCGUGCGGGAUGACGGCCUUCGGGUUGUAAACCGCUUUCGCCUGUGACGAAGCGUGAGUGACGGUAAUGGGUAAAGAAGCACCGGCUAACUACGUGCCAGCAGCCGCGGUGAUACGUAGGGUGCGAGCGUUGUCCGGAUUUAUUGGGCGUAAAGGGCUCGUAGGUGGUUGAUCGCGUCGGAAGUGUAAUCUUGGGGCUUAACCCUGAGCGUGCUUUCGAUACGGGUUGACUUGAGGAAGGUAGGGGAGAAUGGAAUUCCUGGUGGAGCGGUGGAAUGCGCAGAUAUCAGGAGGGACACCAGUGGCGAAGGCGGUUCUCUGGGCCUUUCCUGACGCUGAGGAGCGAAAGCGUGGGGAGCGAACAGGCUUAGAUACCCUGGUAGUCCACGCUGUAAACGGUGGGUACUAGGUGUGGGGUCCAUUCCACGGGUUCCGUGCCGUAGCUAACGCUUUAAGUACCCCGCCUGGGGAGUACGGCCGCAAGGCUAAAACUCAAAGGAAUUGACGGGGCCCCGCACAAGCGGCGGAGCAUGCGGAUUAAUUCGAUGCAACGCGUAGAACCUUACCUGGGUUUGACAUGGAUCGGGAGUGCUCAGAGAUGGGUGUGCCUCUUUUGGGGUCGGUUCACAGGUGGUGCAUGGCUGUCGUCAGCUCGUGUCGUGAGAUGUUGGGUUAAGUCCCGCAACGAGCGCAACCCUUGUUCACUGUUGCCAGCACGUUAUGGUGGGGACUCAGUGGAGACCGCCGGGGUCAACUCGGAGGAAGGUGGGGAUGACGUCAAGUCAUCAUGCCCCUUAUGUCCAGGGCUUCACGCAUGCUACAAUGGCUGGUACAGAGAGUGGCGAGCCUGUGAGGGUGAGCGAAUCUCGGAAAGCCGGUCUCAGUUCGGAUUGGGGUCUGCAACUCGACCUCAUGAAGUCGGAGUCGCUAGUAAUCGCAGAUCAGCAACGCUGCGGUGAAUACGUUCCCGGGGCUUGUACACACCGCCCGUCAAGUCAUGAAAGUUGGUAACACCCGAAGCCGGUGGCCUAACCGUUGUGGGGGAGCCGUCGAAGGUGGGACUGGUGAUUAGG